CCACUCUUCCAUCUAACCUUUCCCUUUCUCUGUGUUCCCACUACCCCAUUAUUCAUCAUCCUUUUUCAUUUCAUUCUUCUACAUUUUCUCAUUCAAGCCAUCAAUUUUCAAACUUUAAGAGUCAUUAAUAGAUUAGGAUAGGAUAGCCAGCCAUAGUAUAUGAAAAAGGAGAUAGACAAGGACAACCCCAAAUCACCAAUAUCUAGCAUCACACUUAUGUUCCUUUAGUUAAUCACCGAAUCACCAUCUUUCAAUUCUUCUUGAACUAGAAAACUUAUUCGAACUACAAAUCAAACCCCAAUUUUGUUUUAGUUCUUGUGGCCUACAUUGAGGGCUUGUAUGCCAUGCUUAUGAGUUGAUUUGGUAGCUAGAAAUUUGAUGGAAGCUAGAAGAAUGUUAAUACUUGAAGAUUGAAGCAAAAAAAGAGAUUUAGAAGCUAGUGUCGAUGCACUUAGAAGGCUAUGAGAAGGGAACUGUUGCUGUCUUUUCUGUACAAUAAGGAGUUGUUGCAGCGCAAUUGAGUUGAUUCGUCAUAACUAUUUACAAUCAGGUGAAUUUAUGUUUCUAGAAGAUUACCGAUUCAGCAGAGUCCCUCUUUUGGUAGGCCUCUACUCCUUGAUGAACGACUCUUUUGAAUUAUAUCUUGAGUCGUUGGUGUAUCUGCAGCUAUUUGAGUCUAGGAAUACUAUUAUUUUGGGAUAUACAAACUUUGGAUAUGUAGUCUCUCAAAUUCAGCUUGAUGGCAUAUGUUUGUAAGCAAGGUUUUUAAUUUGAAAAUGUUGAAGAUAGAAAUAUACUUUGCCAAAUUAUAGUAAGUUUUGGUUUCAGAGUGUACUAUUUAUUCACAAGAUUUUUGUCAAGUGUGGUUUGUUAGGCUGGCCAGAUUUUAUGUAUCAGUAGUCUGUGCGCCGGUCACGGCUAGAAGUUGGGUCGUGACAUUUUCUCCGUGAUUUCAUCAUCUAAGUGUGGUGGUAUAUUAUUCGUCGUUUUGUGCGAUGUUGUUUGAUUUUC